AUAUUAAUCUGGUAGGGGAGAUACCAUGAUCAUGAAGGUCAUUUUCCCACAGUGAGGCUCAUCCUUUGCAUUCCAGAUGUGCUGACCCUUGAGAUUUCCCCCAAUGCGGGAAACGCAACUGCAUAAUUUGUGGUAAGGGAGGACUUGUUCACACUUACUCCUG
ensembl:snRNA U1 U1 spliceosomal RNA